rnacentral:rRNA from 1 species
UUCUGUAAGCCUGUGAAGGUGAGUUGAGAAGCUUGCUGGAGGUAUCAGAAGUGCGAAUGCUGACAUGAGUAACGACAAUGGGUGUGAAAAACACCCACGCCGAAAGACCAAGGGUUCCUGCGCAACGUUAAUCGACGCAGGGUUAGUCGGUUCCUAAGGCGAGGCUGAAAAGCGUAGUCGAUGGGAAACAGGUUAAUAUUCCUGUACUUCUGGUUACUGCGAUGGAGGGACGGAGAAGGCUAGGCCAGCUUGGCGUUGGUUGUCCAAGUUUAAGGUGGUAGGCUGAAAUCUUAGGUAAAUCCGGGGUUUCAAGGCCGAGAGCUGAUGACGAGUCGUCUUUUAGAUGACGAAGUGGUUGAUGCCAUGCUUCCAAGAAAAGCUUCUAAGCUUCAGGUAACCAGGAACCGUACCCCAAACCGACACAGGUGGUCGGGUAGAGAAUACCAAGGCGCUUGAGAGAACUCGGGUGAAGGAACUAGGCAAAAUGGCACCGUAACUUCGGGAGAAGGUGCGCCGGCUAGGGUGAAGGAUUUACUCCGUAAGCUCUGGCUGGUCGAAGAUACCAGGCCGCUGCGACUGUUUAUUAAAAACACAGCACUCUGCAAACACGAAAGUGGACGUAUAGGGUGUGACGCCUGCCCGGUGCCGGAAGGUUAAUUGAUGGGGUUAGCGCAAGCGAAGCUCUUGAUCGAAGCCCCGGUAAACGGCGGCCGUAACUAUAACGGUCCUAAGGUAGCGAAAUUCCUUGUCGGGUAAGUUCCGACCUGCACGAAUGGCGUAACGAUGGCGGCGCUGUCUCCACCCGAGACUCAGUGAAAUUGAAAUCGCUGUGAAGAUGCAGUGUAUCCGCGGCUAGACGGAAAGACCCCGUGAACCUUUACUGUAGCUUUGCACUGGACUUUGAGCCUGCUUGUGUAGGAUAGGUGGGAGGCUUUGAAGCGUGGACGCCAGUUCGCGUGGAGCCAUCCUUGAAAUACCACCCUGGCAUGCUUGAGGUUCUAACUCUGGUCCGUGAUCCGGAUCGAGGACAGUGUAUGGUGGGCAGUUUGACUGGGGCGGUCUCCUCCUAAAGAGUAACGGAGGAGUACGAAGGUGCGCUCAGACCGGUCGGAAAUCGGUCGUAGAGUAUAAAGGCAAAAGCGCGCUUGACUGCGAGACAGACACGUCGAGCAGGUACGAAAGUAGGUCUUAGUGAUCCGGUGGUUCUGUAUGGAAGGGCCAUCGCUCAACGGAUAAAAGGUACUCCGGGGAUAACAGGCUGAUACCGCCCAAGAGUUCAUAUCGACGGCGGUGUUUGGCACCUCGAUGUCGGCUCAUCACAUCCUGGGGCUGAAGCCGGUCCCAAGGGUAUGGCUGUUCGCCAUUUAAAGUGGUACGCGAGCUGGGUUUAGAACGUCGUGAGACAGUUCGGUCCCUAUCUGCCGUGGACGUUUGAGAUUUGAGAGGGGCUGCUCCUAGUACGAGAGGACCGGAGUGGACGAACCUCUGGUGUUCCGGUUGUCACGCCAGUGGCAUUGCCGGGUAGCUAUGUUCGGAAAAGAUAACCGCUGAAAGCAUCUAAGCGGGAAACUUGCCUCAAGAUGAGAUCUCACUGGGAACUUGAUUCCCCUGAAGGGCCGUCGAAGACUACGACGUUGAUAGGCUGGGUGUGUAAGCGUUGUGAGGCGUUGAGCUAACCAGUACUAAUUGCCCGUGAGGCUUGACCA